rnacentral:rRNA from 1 species
UACGGGGGGGGCAAGCGUUGUUCGGAAUUACUGGGCGUAAAGGGCUCGUAGGCGGCCAACUAAGUCAGACGUGAAAUCCCUCGGCUUAACCGGGGAACUGCGUCUGAUACUGGAUGGCUUGAGUUCGGGAGAGGGAUGCGGAAUUCCAGGUGUAGCGGUGAAAUGCGCAGAUAUCAGGAGGAACACCGGUGGCGAAGGCGGGUCUCUGGGCCGAUACUGACGCUGAGGAGCGAAAGCGUGGGGAGCGAACAGG